rnacentral:tRNA from 1 species
GCCAGCAUAGCUCAGUGGCAGAGCGACCGUUUCAUAAGCGGUAAGUCGGAAGUUCGAUUCUUCCUGUUGGCACAA